UUAAGCUCCCUCUCAUGGCGAUGAAAGAGCUCAGACAUGGCUCCCACGAAUGCGUGUUGACCUCGCCUGAAACCAUAGCAGAUGGCAUAUGCAAUAUGUGUUUCAAAGAUAAACCUGUCGAGUUCGCAUGUAGUUCUUGUAACUUCGAUCUAUGUAAAGCUUGCUCUGAUAUACCACCGAAGGUGUCACACGAAUUUCACUCGGAGCAUCCUCUAGAUUUGUGUCUCCGAAAAUAUGAUCAAAAGCCUGGACACAUCAUCUGCUCCGGAUGUGGUAACAUGUCUUCAGAUUGUUUCUACAAGUGCAAAGAGUGUGAGAUCUACCUUGAUCUGGAUUGUGCACUCCUGCCUAACAUUUUCAGGAGCUGGGAUAUCAAAACAGAGCUCCAUUACAGCCAUGCUCACUUGCUUAAGAGGUGUAGACCAGGACCAGAUGCUAGAGGAUCUUGUCUCUUGUGUGAGCUUCCUUUAUCUCCUUCCUCAAUAUGUUACGGUUGCGUUCAUUGUUACGGGUUUGUACAUGAGCGUUGCCGCAACUUCCCCGUAGAGUUUCAACAUCCUGUGCAUCCGCAACACCCUCUCAAGCGCCUUGAUUUCACCUUAAAUUGUGGUCCUGGAAUAUCUUGUUAUAAGUGUAGGAACGAAAUCUACACCGUUCCGGUUGGUUGUUUAGAAUGCAAAUUUUUCCUUCACCUGAGGUGUGCGGAUUCCAUGUUGCGAGGUUUGAUGCACAAGUCUCAUCAACACAUGUUGUUUUAUGUCGGUUGCUAUACCUAUGUGUAUACACUUGGUUUCAAUGAGAAUUAUCACUGUGCGAUAUGCAAUAAGUAUACGGGUGAACAGUUUUAUCAGUGCCUUGAAUGUGGCUGGAAGGUUCAUUGCGAAUGUAUUGAGAUACCUCGGUCCCUAGUAAAGAAAAAUUUCCACAUCCAUCCACUUGCGUUUACAAUCUUUCUAGGUGAGGAUGAAUUAUUGGAGUAUUGUGGCGUUUGCGAGACAAUGGUACAUGUAGGACAUCAUGUUUAUUCCUGCCAAGAAUGUGAUUAUCUUGGCCACAUUGAAUGCAUUUUACGCAAGGAAGCGCCUUCGCCAUUGUAUUUGAAAGAUCUCGACAUGACAAGAGGCACAAAUGGAGAAGAUUGUAAAACCGAAAAAUUGGAAAAUAAGCUUACGGUUAAUGUAAUCGAGCAUACUCAUGUGAUGAUGAGUUGGGACACUGGAAAUAACAAUACAUCAUGCGGCAUAUGCGAAGGAAAUAUAUUAAGUAGCUCAUGGAAAUGUGAGACAUGUUAUUUCUUUGCACAUGAUUCUUGUGUAAAGCUGGGGAGACCAUCAAGGCAUAGACUUCAUUUGAACCAUGAUUUGACUCUCAUGUCAAGUUACCCAACAGGAGUUAUCAUGAGUUGCAACACCUGCAAAGGGGAAAUAAGAGGUUUCAAUCUCUUAUGUCGUAUAUGCAUUUUAAUUACCUGCAUGCGUUGUGUAGUAAAGUUUGGGGAGUUACAAAGAGGGCAAAAAGUCAUUGGAACCACAAAAGUAAAAUGCAGCAUGUAUGUUGGGAGUCACCAUUUGUUUCAAGUUAUGGUAUCUAAUUCAUAUCCGACAGCUUGCACUAUUUGUGAUGAGAGGUUGUGUAGUGGGAAAGUUUUGUCAUGUAUGGAGUGUGGAGAGAUAUAUCAUCCUCAUUGUAUUGAAACUUUCAGGGAGAAACUCAUUCAUCCCAUUCAUUCUGAUCACAAGCUUGAAAUCAAGAUGAAGGUUGGAUCUAAGUGCAUUGCCUGCGAACUGAAUAUUACAAAGUAUGGUCUGUUUUGCUCUCUUUGCAAAGCCAGCUUCCAUAUUAAAUGUAGAGAAGCAGUCGAUGAUGCAUCAGGGAAGAACAAUGUUUGACCUUCACAAGUAUACUUUCUAGUUUCUAUAACUUUUGGAUGUUUGCUGAAUGUUUCGAAAUUUUCUUUCCAGUAAUACAGCCCACUCCUGAAGUUUCUGUUACUAUAUGAUAAAACGAAGAUUAACAUGUGGGAUUAGAUGCCUCUGUCCUUGUUUCUAAAUUCCAACAACACAAGAUUAAAAUAUGCAACAAUGAGUUAUCAGGUAGAAGAGAGUUCAAGAAGAAAGGGUUUUAUGCUUUCAGGUUCGAGGACUAUAAUUGCACGGUGGUUUUCGUUGGCUCGCCCUUUUUUGUAAGGGAAACAAGUUUCAAAGGGGUGAACGGUACUAAAUUGGAGACUUUAAGGUUGGAUAUGAUGGACAAGACGACUUCCAUGUAUAGUGAUGCUGAUAUACUAAUUUUCAACACUGGUCAUUGGUGGACUCAUGACAAAACGAAGCUAGGAGAAAACUAUUACCAAGAAGGUAACGUUGUGUACCCGAGGCUUAAGGUUCUCGAAGCUUAUAAACGAGCUCUCACUACUUGGGCGAAAUGGGUCGAUGAGAACAUCAACCGCAGUCACACCCAUGUCAUAUUCCGAGGGUACUCCGUUACACAUUUCAGAGGAGGACAAUGCCAUAAGGAAACAGAACCAAUUAUCAAGUUAAUUUAUGAAGGGGGUUUCCACAUUGAGUUCUUUGGACUCCUCCAAGACAUCUGAGAUCUUCGGAAUAGUUUUGUUGAUAUAACCUUCUCUUUUAUCCCAAGACAUCCCUCGUCUUGCCAAUCAUAUGGCACAUAAGGUAGCGAAAAAGGCAUUAGUCUCUCGUGAGUUGAUGUAUUCAAAACUCUUCUAAUUUUUCAUUGAAAGUA